AUAAAAGUAAUGAUGGAGAAGAGUAAGUAUUGGAUGUCUACAGAGAGGAAGUGCCUUGGCUGGAAGCACUUCUAGAUUUGAAGAUACUGAAGUUCGCUCCUGAACUGCUGAGUUGAACUACUAGUAGGCUCAGUCGGCUAAGUCCGUUAUUAUUGAGAGUGACUUGACUUUAAGUCAAGUAAAAAGAGUGGUACCGCGAAUAACCUUCGUCUCUUUG
rnacentral:ncRNA from 1 species